GGGGGCGAUUGGAUUCGACCGGGCGAGUUGAAAGGAAUGUGGCGUGCCGAGGUUGUCAGGAGGCCUCGUAAAACACCUGGCGAAAACUUUACAUGGCAACACUUAUGCCAUGGCUGCCUAACAACAGGUAGCCCGUCUCGCGGGAGACGCCCACUAUUCCGCGCGGCGCUGCCAGUGGGCUGGUUGCGGCGUGACGCCUGACCGCGUCGCAACGAGACAACAGUCGGGCUAGGGCCGCGAGAGCCUGUCGGUGGGCGCUUGCGGCUUCGAGAUUCAAACGACCGACUACGCACGUAGAGGCAUUCCAAAAGCUGUCGCGGGACGGGGGUUCGAUUCCCCCCGCCUCCAUUG
rnacentral:tmRNA from 1 species